GACCUGAUGGUGUACCGGUAGCACAUCUGCUCAAUUUAUUCCAAGGGACUGCCUUUACGCAGAAGGACCUCGUUCGAUUCGGGGUCAGGUCU